GAAUGUUCUGAUUCUACACGCACAAUUGAGUUUCUAAAAAACUACGCAUAUAAAACUCACUGCAUUAUUUUUUCCGUUUUUUCGAAUAACGAAACCUAUUCUUUUCUAUAAUAAUAGUCAAGACAAUGAAAUAUAUUGUGUUUAAUAUUCUGACGAUUUUGCCCAUCCUCACUUAUACCUUCGCUGCUAGUAUUAGCUUUAGUCACCAGAGUGGCAUAUCGACUAGCUGUACCAACGGAAAAUGUAAAACGGUAGAAGAUAGAGGUCAUGUUUCAGUAGACUGUAAGAAUGGAAAUUGUAACAAAGAAUAUUCCAGUACUCUUUGUAAAAACGGGAAAUGUACCCACACCGGUGAUGCUGGACCCACGAAAGACAUUCCUGAACCAAAGUUUGACUAUAUGGGAGGUGGUUUCGAUUCUUCGGACUUUGGAGAUAUGAGUGGAGGAUAUGGUUUUGGAGGCUUUAGGGAGUGUAUUGAUGGACAAAUAGAAGACAUGUAUUACGAAAGCAUGUUUAACAGAUGCUACAAAACAAUAUGCAUCAAUGGGUUAUGGCAGGAUCAGUCAUUCCGGGGACGUUGUCAUAAAUGAAUAAAAGGACGCCUUAGAGUGGUAUCACGUAUACACAAGAGGAAAAGAUUGUCAUCAAUUAAAGUUUCUUUAAUUUC